rnacentral:lncRNA from 1 species
AGACCCUCUCUGUUGCCUGUGUCACCGUGGCGCUCCAUGAGAGCACAGAAAUACGUCGCAGCAUCCCCCAGCUGCGAGUCGGAGAUCUCCAGGCUGAAGGACUUAGCUGCUUUCUGGAAGUUCACAGAGAAGCGGUUUAACGUUGCAUUAUACUGCUUGUAUGCUUCUUGGAGAAUGACGAGAGUCACCUGCCCUCCUUGCUGUUUGUACCAGAACAAGAGGCCCAUGACCUCCUCACAACAUAAGAAGCAUUUAGCCAAACUGUGAAAGCUCCAAUAGUCUUCAGCAGCUCCAACACUGUUCAAAAGUAGACCGGAAGUGCCGAACUGCCUUGCUAUCACGGCUCGCCCCUGCUUGGGAAGAUUAACACACUAAGAAGACUGAUGUCGGAAUAUCUUCACUGAGAUCAUAAUUAUUCUCCACGGGAAGCAUAGGGCUUCCCCAGCGGCAGCACGGAUUCCAUUUUCCUGCCUCUCUAAUGACCAGUUCUCAGAUCUCUGAACCUUGAGGAGAGGAGUUUUAUGAGGAGCAUGUGCAACUGCCACCCCAAGAUGGCAUCCAGGACGGCUGCCAGGUCUUAUGACCUGCGCCUGACUUCCUCAUUACCUCAGACUUAGCCACAUCCCAGCCGCCUGCACUGCGCAGACGCCAUGCCUCGUCAGCUCGCUUGAGGUGUUGUCACUUGCUGUGAACCAAUGGACUGCCGUUACGUGACUGGGGUGGAGUCAGUAGGGUAUUUAAGGCACACCCCGGGGUUGUUGGGCGGGGGUAGGGGGUGGGGGAUUCCCAUUCCUGCAUUGCAAUUGGAAGUGUUCCUGAAUAAACCUGCUUGAAGAAGGACAA